rnacentral:siRNA from 1 species
AGCCGCGGUCUGUCUGCUGCCAC